rnacentral:rRNA from 1 species
CACUCCUGCGGGAGGCAGCAGUGGGGAAUAUUGCACAAUGGGCGCAAGCCUGAUGCAGCCAUGCCGCGUGUAUGAAGAAGGCCUUCGGGUUGUAAAGUACUUUCAGCGGGGAGGAAGGCGAUAAGGUUAAUAACCUUGUUGAUUGACGUUACCCGCAGAAGAAGCACCGGCUAACUCCGUGCCAGCAGCCGCGGUAAUACGGAGGGUGCAAGCGUUAAUCGGAAUUACUGGGCGUAAAGCGCACGCAGGCGGUCUGUCAAGUCGGAUGUGAAAUCCCCGGGCUCAACCUGGGAACUGCAUUCGAAACUGGCAGGCUAGAGUCUUGUAGAGGGGGGUAGAAUUCCAGGUGUAGCGGUGAAAUGCGUAGAGAUCUGGAGGAAUACCGGUGGCGAAGGCGGCCCCCUGGACAAAGACUGACGCUCAGGUGCGAAAGCGUGGGGAGCAAACAGGAUUAGAUACCCCUGUAGUCCCAUG